rnacentral:tRNA from 1 species
GCGGGCGUGGCGGAACUGGCAGACGCGCCGGCUUUAGGUGCCGGUGCCGAAAGGCAUGGGGGUUCGAGUCCCUCCGCCCGCA